CCAAUUGGAUGCAUAUCUCGGGAACUGAGAAUAAUGCCCGAUAGAACAUUAUGCCUGGAAUGGUUUAUGUUUCAAAUGAUUUAUCGCCAUAGGAUGGGACUGCGGCCUAUCAGUUUGUUGGUGAGGUAAUGGCCCACCAAGACUAUUACAGGUACGGGCUCUGAGAGGAGUGGCCCGGAGAUGGGUACUGAGACACGGACCCAGGCCCUAUGGGGCGCAGCAGGCGAGAAAACUUUGCAAUGUGCGAAAGCACGACAAGGUUAAUCCGAGUGGUUUCUGCUAAAGAAACCUUUUGUCAGUCCUAGAAACACUGACGAAUAAGGGGUGGGCAAGUUCUGGUGUCAGCCGCCGCGGUAAAACCAGCACCUCAAGUGGUCAGGAUGAUUAUUGGGCCUAAAGCAUCCGUAGCUCGUUUUGUAAGUUUUCGGUUAAAUCCAUGCGCUUAACGUAUGGGCUGCCGGGAAUACUGCAUAACUAGGAAGUGGGAGAGGUAGACGGUACUCGGUAGGAAGGGGUAAAAUCCUUUGAUCUAUUGAUGACCACCUGUGGCGAAGGCGGUCUACCAGAACACGUUCGACGGUGAGGGAUGAAAGCUGGGGGAGCAAACCGGAUUAGAUACCCGGGUAGUCCCAGCUGUAAACUAUGCAAACUCAGUGAUGCAUUGGCUUGUGGCCAAUGCAGUGCUGCAGGGAAGCCGUUAAGUUUGCCGCCUGGGAGGUACGUACGCAAGUAUGAAACUUAAAGGAAUUGGCGGGGGAGCAC
rnacentral:rRNA from 1 species